rnacentral:lncRNA from 1 species
UAUAUUUCUGCAAACGUUGUAGCAAAAACAAAUAAGGAUGUGUUUUAUAAUCAUAACAAUGAUGUGAACUAUGUACUGUUGAUAGGUGUGUCAUUCUCCACAUCUGAUAUAUACAGCUAACAAGUUUUAUCAAUAAACAUAAGAUUACUAACAAGACCCACACAUUCUUCUUUCAGUAACAAGAUUCAUUGUAUAGAAAUUACUUUGAAAGCAACCAUCAGACAAUUU